rnacentral:rRNA from 1 species
GACAGAGGGGGCAAGCGUUGCUCGGAAUCACUGGGCGUAAAGGGCGCGUAGGCGGGAUGGCAAGUCGGUCGUGAAAUCCCUGGGCUCAACUCAGGGGGGUCGGCCGAUACUGCCGUUCUUGAGGGAUGCAGAGGAGACUGGAAUUCCCGGUGUAGCGGUGAAAUGUGUAGAGAUCGGGAGGAACACCGGUGGCGAAGGCGGGUAGCUGGGCCGACACUGACGCUGAGGCGCGAAAGCCAGGGGAGCGAACGGG